CCCAAGCUUAAGCACUGCCGAGCUAUGUUUAACUUCACAUGCUAAAAGCUUCUUACCCUCUUUGCUGAAGAGGAACAUGUCCUGCAGGAAGCCCAGUGAGUCUCCAUUACUGCCUGCAAGUGCAGCCAAGUCGUCAUCAGACGUGGGAGGGUACGAUCCCCGGAACAUCGAAAGAGCCAUAAGACUACAUUCAGCUAUUACGAACAGAAGCUCCAAGAAAUUCACGGAACUGAUCGGUGAUGAAUGUCGAUAUUGUUUCGGUAGUCUUCCUCUCCAUCCUUUGGCGCUAUGUGAGAAAGCUCUUCAAAUGCUGCACUCUUUCAUGGUGCGGAACAGCAUCAUGUUGGUGAUGAAGCCGACGGCGGGCUAUGGAGUUGACAUUGGCUUUAGAUGGUUCUCAAAUCUUGCGAAGGACAACUUACCCUUGAGCUUUGGUUGCACCAUCUCUGCAGUUCAAGUGUACACGGGCAUAUUAC